CGCGGCCUAUCAGCUUGUUGGUGGGGUAACGGCCUACCAAGGCAUCGACGGGUAGCUGGUCUGAGAGGACGAUCAGCCACACUGGGACUGAGACACGGCCCAGACUCCUACGGGAGGCAGCAGUGGGGAAUAUUGGACAAUGGGCGAAAGCCUGAUGCAGCGACGCCGCGUGAGGGAUGACGGCCUUCGGGUUGUAAACCUCUUUCAGCAGGGAAGAAGCGAAAGUGACGGUACCUGCAGAAGAAGCACCGGCUAACUACGUGCCAGCAGCCGCGGUAAUACGUAGGGUGCAAGCGUUGUCCGGAAUUAUUGGGCGUAAAGAGCUCGUAGGCGGUUUGUUGCGUCGGCUGUGAAAACCUGAGGCUCAACCUCAGGCCUGCAGUCGAUACGAGCAGACUAGAGUGUUGCAGGGGAGACUGGAAUUCCUGGUGUAGCGGUGAAAUGCGCAGAUAUCAGGAGGAACACCGGUGGCGAAGGCGGGUCUCUGGGCAACUACUGACGCUGAGGAGCGAAAGCGUGGGGAGCGAACAGGAUUAGAUACCCUGGUAGUCCACGCCGUAAACGUUGGGCGCUAGGUGUGGGGGCCAUUCCACGGUCUCCGUGCCGCAGCUAACGCAUUAAGCGCCCCGCCUGGGGAGUACGG
rnacentral:rRNA from 1 species